GAGCACGAAGGUCAGCUAAUCCUGGUCGGACAUCAGGAGGUUAGUGCAAUGGCAUAAGCUGGCUUGACUGCGAGAGUGACGGCUCGAGCAGGUGCGAAAGCAGGUCAUAGUGAUCCGGUGGUUCUGUAUGGAAGGGCCAUCGCUCAACGGAUAAAAGGUACUCCGGGGAUAACAGGCUGAUACCGCCCAAGAGUUCAUAUCGACGGCGGUGUUUGGCACCUCGAUGUCGGCUCAUCACAUCCUGGGGCUGAAGUAGGUCCCAAGGGUAUGGCUGUUCGCCAUUUAAAGUGGUACGCGAGCUGGGUUUAGAACGUCGUGAGACAGUUCGGUCCCUAUCUGCCGUGGGCGCUGGAGAAUUGAGGGGGGCUGC
rnacentral:rRNA from 1 species